AUUGAACGCUGGCGGCAGGCCUAACACAUGCAAGUCGAACGAGUGGCGGACGGGUGAGUAAUGUCUGGGAAACUGCCUGAUGGAGGGGGAUAACUACUGGAAACGGUAGCUAAUCCCGCAUAACAUCCGAUGUGCCCCGAGGGGAUUAGCUAGUUGGUGGGGAAACGGCUCACCAAGGCGAAGAUCCCUCGCUGGUCGGAGAGGAUGACCAGCCACACUGGAACUGAGACACGGUCCAGACUCCGACGGGAGGCAGCAGUGGGGAAUAUUGCGCAAUGGGCGAAAGCCUGAUGCAGCAAUGCCGCGUGGAUGAAGAAGGCCUUCGGGUGGUAAAGUACUUUCAGCGGGGAGGCGUUACCCGAAGAAGAAGCCCCGGCUAACUCCGUGCCAGCAGCCGCGGUAAUAC
rnacentral:rRNA from 1 species